rnacentral:misc_RNA from 1 species
UUUCCGUAGGUGAACCUGCGGAAGGAUCAUUCAUAAUAAAGUGUUUUAUGGCGCUUUUUAAAAAUCCAUAUCCACCUUGUGUGCAAUGUUGGAUCUCGUCAAUCUUGGCGAGAUUUUUAUACAUCAACUCAUUCUUUAACUAAUUUGUCUGAAAAAUAUUAUGAAUACUUAAUUCAAAAUACAACUUUCAACAACGGAUCUCUUGGCUCUC